CCGCUGUCGGUGGAACGAGUGGGAAGUUACGCCUGGUGGCGGCUGCUCGCCGCCCCCCGCGGCGGCCUGUCGCGGCAUCCCGCGCCUCCGUCGAAAAAAAAAAAAAAAAAAAAAAAAAAAGAAAGCAAGCCACCGCGGGCUAUGGGGGAGCUGCCCGGCUGCCGCCAUCUUGAGGCGGGGAGUAUGGCGCGGGUCGAGGCGGGUCGGUUGCGGCCAUCCGGCGUGGUCUCAGCCGGCCGUCUCUGGCGAGGCGUUGGGCCGCAGUGGGGCCGAUUGCUUGGGGCCCCGUCGGUCUCCCUCCAUCCGCCUCAUCUCGGUCCCGGCCUCGAGCUGUGCGCAGCCGGUGGGGCUGGGGCGGUCGUGAGUGCAGAACAGAGCGGUUGAGUCCACCCUGCCAACAACCCCGCGCCUCUGCUGCGUUGGGAUGUGUGUUUAGGGGACAGGCGAGAUGGAGAUUGAGGCCGUUUUCUGGCCGUAUACAGUUCCAGCACAUCCAGUGGGUAGUGCAGUGUUCCUUUGUAGCCCUGAUACAUCCCCACCUGCAGCUCUUUGCUAGCUUGUGAAGUGUCUUUGCAUAGCUCCUGCAGUCUAUGGCCAGCAGUGCUUGCCUGUUAGCUAUGGAAGGCACGUAGUUAAUUGAGUUCUAUGCACCCUUCCAUGUCCCUUCAUCUUACUAUUAUCUAUACACAGCUUCACAAUUGACAUUUCUCAUACCAGUCCCUAUAACUACCUCCUAUUUGCCUCACAAACCCUACAACUACUCCAUUACAGCUGUCCCUAGAGACUGAAAUUGUCCUUAAAUACUGAACAGAAGUAUUUUCAACCCAUGAAUAGCUGUACUAUGAUUUCUGAGGCCCAGUGUAACCAUCAUAGCUCUAACAAUUGCCUAGAAAAAAUUACUGGGAAAUCUGAAAAUAUGUAAAAAUCAAACCUGAAUCAACAGAGCAUUAUGUCUACAACAGAAUAAUUUUGAAUAGUAGAAUGGUGCAGUUUUACAGAUGGAACUGGAUCUUUUUAUGGGGAAACUAGUCUGAAAUGCUAUAGCAGUAAUGACACCGUUUGGCUAUUCAACCUUUGAAUCUCUGGGUGAUUGAAGUGCUUACCUUCACUUAUCUAUGACAGUAGCCUUGUCAGUCAGAAACACUGAGAUACAACCAUAAAAAGUCUAAUAAAAAUAGAUAGUGUCAUCUUAUAUAGUUCAUUUGAAGGCAAACUGUAUUUCAGUAGACAUCUCUCACCCUAUCUAUCCAGCAAAUAAAAGUUUUUUUAUUUAGGUGGUAAUGCACUGAAAGCUUGGAGGAUUUGUGCUUUCAUUGACUUCUCAAUUUCUUGUGAGCAACAUGGAGGACUGAGGGGACACUGAGUAAUUUCAGAAAAGAAAAAAAAAAAAAAAAAAAAACAUUGCUGGAAGGAUGUGACUAAUUCCAUGGUAAUGCUUUACCAACUUUCAUCCUAUCCAUGCUGGUAAAGAAAGUUUUCGUUUCGAGGAUUUUAAUACUUGAUAUUGUAUUAUCCUUUCUCUUAUGUCAGGUUGUUGCUUGCAUGCAUAUUUGCUUUGCUAGGUGAACAGGGUGACCUGUCAGUAAGUUGAAGGAUAAAAUCUCUUGGCUGUUGGUUUGUGUUCUUAAAUCAUGGAACUUUGAACUUUUUGAUUGAAAAAUCAUAUCAAACCUAGUCAGGCCUUGGCAUAAGUGUAAUAUAUAUAUAUAUAUACACAUUUGUUGCUACCCUUGAGUUAAUGUGUUUGCAGAAUUUUUAAAUCUAUAUUAACAUCUCAGUCUCUAAAUACAUCAUCACUCGCUAUGUCAGGAGGGUCAUAGCUUCUUUUGUUACUGGGAAAUUGUUGAAUCACUUCAAUGUUUUGACCCUUUCAUCUAUGAAGUUUGUUUGCAGAGCUGUCUGCAUUACUCAACUGGGGCCUAACAGAGACUGAAGUUCUGCUUCAAAACAUUGCAAAUACAUAUAUGUAGAUUUUUCUCAAAUUUCAGAAUUUGAAUUUUUGGUCUUUAUCAAAGUACACAUCUCAUCUUAAUAUUUGAAGAAAUGUCAUUUUUCCUUAGCAACAGUUACAUAUUUCUAGAUAAUCAGUAGAAACACUAAAUCACUUCAUUUGGCUACUGUAACUAAUGAUAGUAUUAAACAACCUUUCAAAUUAAAAUAUGAAAAAAUCUUUUCAUUAGAAGUAGUGCUAAAAAACUUUGUAAUUUUUAUUUAGAGCAAGAUACACUGUAUUUCUCAAAAUAAUUUUAUGGCUUUGCACACAGACAAGUGAAAAUCAAAAUAAUUAACAUUUUUCAACAGUGAAUUAAAAUAAGAUUAGACAGACAUCCCCUGUACUUUGAAAAAUCUCACUUUUUGCUUUCAGACUGAAAACUUCAACAAUUCUACAAAUAAUUGUUUCUAUAUGAAGGAAUUUAUAGUGAAAUCUCUUAGGUAGAGAAAAAUAACAGAGAAGAUGCUACUCCUAUCAUUUUUUUUUCUGAUUAUAGCUUUUAAUGACAUCACUUUUGGAUCUUCAGCAGAAUUACAUUCCUAUCCCUCCCUUCUUCUCAGAGAAGAAUUCACUGAGAGCAGCCUUGGGAAAAAGGACUUGGAUGUCUUAGUGAAUGAAAAGCUUGGUGUGAACCAGCGGUGUGUUCUCGCAGCCCAUACCAACAGCAUCCUGGGCUAGCCAUUCCUCAUAGUACCUGUGGUGGUUUUAAACUAAAAAAGCAGAGAUUUAGAUUAGCUAACAGGAGAGAAGUUUUCACUCAGAGGAUGAUGAGGCGUUGGCACAGGCUGCUCAGAGAAGCUGUGGUUGCCCCAUCCCUGGAGAUGCUCAGGGCCAAGUUGGAUGGGGCCAUGAGCAGCCUGAUCUAGUGAGUGGCAACCUUGUCUAGGGCAGGGGUUUGGAACUAGAUGGCCUUUAAUGUUCCUUCCAACCCAAGCCAUUCUGAUUCUGUGAUUCAGGGCUUUUCUGAAAUAAAGAAUACUACAGAGCUUGGCCAUUUCUAACAAGGUCAUAAUUAAUCCAUCUGGUAUUUCAUACAACAAAGUCCAUUCUUUUUUUGUUAAAUCUGCUUCAUAUUUUUUUUACAUUUCUAAAUAGUUUUCAGAUAUAUUUUGUCAUUUGUGGCAUAUCUAAGAAGUACCACAACACAUUCCUCUCAGCCGUACUGUGCAGAACAAUUAUCCAUGUAUCUUAUGAAAUAGCAUAAAGGCAAGGCAAAAUACUAAAGUAGAUAAGAGCAUUUGAACUGUUUCAGACCAAGGAUACAUCUUCCCAGUUCAUAGAAGUGCAUGCCUAAAGAAGUGCAAGAACAAGCACAUACAUGUAUUUCACUAGGUAUCUUUGCCACUCUGUGUCUCGGGGAUUUUCUAAAACCUUCAUAAUCUGUCAUUAUUGUAAUAUUCAGAGAAUUUCUUCCAAGAAUUUGUCAAGUCUCCCAUAAAACUCCUGCACUGACACCAUGUUUUAUCAAGAAGAGCUAUGCUGUAAGAAUAAAUGCUGUAUAGUAAAUGCUGUAUGAAAAAUAAAAGCCAUUUUGCAUUCUUUGAAGUCUAGUUGUUGUCUUCUGUCUUUUUUUGUUCUAGUGAAUACUCACCAUGGGGAGAAGGUGAAGAGGAUAUGUCUAGAUGUUAUAAAGAAUUAGGCAGCUUAGUACAGAAGUAUAGGCUAUGCUGUGUGGCUGCUUGUCAUGUUUCUUUGAUUACCCGUGUAGGUGAGGAAUGGGGACUUCUUUGUCGCUUGGGGAUCGACUGCCAGUGCAGCCUGCAUGUUUGACCCUGAGGGUGAAAGCUGUUGGCCACGCUGCCUCUCUGGCCAGAAGAAUCAGUGGGUAUAUCCACGCUGUGGUUUCUCAGCAAUUUGGACACUUCUGCGAUACUGCUCUGGAAGUCCUGGGUUCUGACAAAGAUGAGUUUGUGUCUUUUCCACUGUACCCUAGCUUCCUGUCCUCUCAUCAGCAAUUGGUGAGACCACCAGUAGCUGACUGUCAGUUUGAUAUCUUGCUAAUACUCUCUCCACACAGUUUUACAACAAAUGUGCUUUCCAGGAAUCCCUCUUUUUUUUUUCCCAUAAGGCACCCUGUUGACAAUUCUGAGUCAGAAGACAUUGACAGUACUAUCAUUUUCAGGGAUAAGGAAGGUACAAGAUGGCAAGAACUGGAGGCUCACAGUGAAAAGCAAACAUAAAACUGAUGACAGCUGGCUUUAUGUGCAUGAGAAGCACUCUGAAAAGUGUCAUACACUCUACAUUUUUAGAUCUUUUGGCUGGUACCUCUGUACUUGCUACACACUAGUGGGAGGAUUUAACAGAGGUGUAGCCCUCCAGCUGUGUUUAGGCCCUAGUAUCUGUAUUAACAAUGUAAUAUGCACAUGCUUCCAGUUUUCUUGUAUUGGAAAGGUGCAUUGAAAAGGGAAGUGAAAUUUCCGUGCACCAAAACUGCACUGUGAAAAGAAUAAAAGCACAACAAGUGGGGAUAAUAAGAGAUUUGCCUUGGCCGUGCACUGCUGGUAUGAGAGAAAAUGCUAUAGCAGUCAUACCCUUAGUUUGGAAACCUGACACAUUAAUCAGUUUUUAAUGUGUGUUACAGUUUGGUUACAUUAAGUUCCUUAUGGACCAGUAUCAAGCACAGCAGUAUCAAUAAUGAUUUUUAUAAUGACAUUAAUAUAAAUCCCCACUGCAGUUUUUUGCAUCUCUUGAGUAAUAACAGUCCAGUAAACAAGGCAGUCAUCAUUCUUCACUAUAUGGUAUAACAAAUGUGAAAUCACUGUGUAGGUGUAUGUUAGACUACAUUAUAUUGUAAACAAACAAAUACAGAUUAUUUUUUGGUUGCAAGGUGAAAUUUGAGAUUAUGCUAGCCACUGAGAAUCCACUUUUCUAUGUAAAAAUGUGGCAGUGCCAGAGCCUCCUGAUUCUAAGCAGUUUUGUACAGAUAUCAGAGAAGGCAUCCAGCUGUCUGGCUUCACGUCAGGCUUUAAAAUUUCUCCCUUAUGAGCUAAAAGGCAGAAGAGUGAGGGUUGGAUGGAAUUAUCCCCUUGUUCUGUUCUGAUUAAUUCAAUCCACUGCAGAAAGUGACGAAGGAUAAAGUAAUUAAUUGUUCACCUGGAGCUGGUUAGGAAUCGUUACUUUCUUGCACUCUGGUGUCCUGUGGGAUCAGUGUAUGUACUUAUCUUUACCACACUGUGGCUGGACUUCGUAACUACUGUGAUGACCGAAUGAGCAUUGCCCUUUCUAUGAAAACAGCAACAACAAAACCAGUUAGCUGAAGUAGAAAAUAAAUGUCAUUUUGGGAAUGCAACUCACAGCAGUCUUUGUGAAAACUCUAUUACCAUCUUCACUGUGAACACAUAAUUUUUUUACAUUUUUGGGGGACUGUCCACUCUGAAGAACAUAUGCCUAGUAGAUCUUCAUUUGUAUUCAGCAUGUGGUUAUAAAUCAAAUCACCCACUUGUUUACAAAGAUUCAUAUUUUUUUGUUGAAGCCAAAUGGGAAUACUUCUUUGCUACACUGGACUAGAGUAGACCAGUAUAGGGUCUUUUGGUCUAGCCUUUGCAAACAGCAGCCUGUGUUUGUGUUUUAAUGCUUUUAAUAUAGAUUCAAAUGCUAUCAAACAGAUAGUUUUAUGAAACAAAGCAAAACAAAAAAAAACUGUGCAGUGGGAGAUAUAGUAUAUGAUCAAGGGCAGUGUGGCCUGCCUUUGACAUAAGUAUGUUCAGUUUUGCAUGGCACUCUUUUCCCCCAUUGCAGUGAGCCUAGAGAAAAACGUAUAUUCAGCCUCUCGUGUAUUUUCAUUCCUUUCUUAAUUUGUUUGCUCAGAUCUGACAAACUCAAAACCUCUUACAUACUAAAUCUCAGAAACUGUUGCAAUUCUGUGUACUUUUGCAUUUUGGUAGUAUCUUAACAUGAGAGGUGUAUCAAAAGACUCAGGAGUGUAUGGCCCCUUCUGUGUAGGCAGAAUCUUAUUUACUGGACAUUCUGUGAAGGUCUUGAGUUCAUUUUCACUGUCAUGUGACACCUCUGAUCAGCUAGAGGCACCACUGUUUUAACAACCACAAGCAUGAAGUCUUUCUGUGCCAACAAUAUCUAAUGACCUUACACAGCAAAAGACCCCUAACAGUGUGGGAGCAUCUGAGCCAUCUCAGGUGUGCAGAGAACCCUCACCAGCCUGCUAGCAACAGUACCAUUGGUAGGACCAGCCAAGAGCAUGGGGUGACAACGUAGCGGGCCCUGGACAUACUUGGGUUAGUUAAGGCAAAGGUCAGAACUCAAGGAGAAAAGUGAAUGAACAAGAAAUGUGGCUUAGGCAGCCAUUAGAAUGAAGAGUCAAUAAGACAUUUUGGAGUUGUUCUUUGGGGUCAUCUUUUUUUAUUUUUGUUUUUGCUUGCUUACCCCAAACACUGAGUUUGCUCAAAGCAUGUGAUGCAUAAAAUGCAAGACUACCCCUACUGCAAGGGCUCCUCUAUCAAAGUAUCAUUGUGGGGUUUUUUUUACAAGUUUAUACAAUUUUACUGUGUUACAAUCUGUUAAACACCCUUCCAUAUUUGCACACUUGCACAUUUUAAUAAAAAAUGUUUUCCUCUCAUGUUUUCCUGGAAUUUAAUGCAACACUUGAUGAAGAGUAUAAAGUAGAGGUUUUUUUCAAAAAUUGAGAGAUGUAAAAAAUUUAAAUGUUACUAGUUUCUGGUGGUCACUUUUUUUUUCCUUUCUAAUGAGAGUCAUCAAAAAGAUGCCUCUGAAAUAUAAAAGUUAACUUUGGACAUUUGAGUCUUGAAGAUUUUAUGGAAAGAGUAAAGAAAAAGAAUUUAUUUUUAAAAAGAUAACUUAAAGUCCUUUCAAUUCAUUAUGCUUGGGAAUUACUUGAAAUAACUAAAUUACUCAAAUAAGGAAAUAAUGUGCUUAGAAUUAAGUUUAAACAUUUGGUUACUCAUACAAGAAUUUUUUUGAGAUGAAAAUAUACAAUAUUAAUUGUAGUCUUAUUAGAAUGUAAUUUUAUUCUUCACUUAGAAGAAAUAACUGAAAAAAAAAACUCUUUUGAACUAAUGAUUGAUGAAAAUGGUUGAAAUAAUGUUGCAGAUUAUGAACUAGUGAUUGAUGCUCAUGUUAAUAUGAUUAUGAAUAAGCUAUGUACUGUUGGUAAGAGAUUUUUUACAGUAUUAGUCACGUUUCUGUUUUCUGAAGAAGUGCAGGAUGCCUGCACUUACCAAUUCAUUAUAUCAAGCACAGACAAAUGAAAAAAUAAAUCAUAACCCUAAGUGUGAUAAUUUAGUAGAUAAUUCCCAUAAAACUUUUAUAUUACUAUAUUCAUUGAGCUGUUGUUUUCUAAACAUAAACAUAAAUUUCAGAUCCUGUUCAUUCUUGCUGAGCAUUAACUGCUAUAUGCCAGCUGAGGUAUUUUCUUAAUCUGUUGUGAAUCUUAGAAAUCCUAUUGCACUUCAGAACUUGGUCUGUGUUUCAGAAGGUAUUAAAAGCAAUAUAUGUAUAAAUUGCAGUCUUACUUUUCAACACUUCUAAGAAAACCAUGAGUUGAAUUUCUGAAUUUUGUUCAAGGUUUUAGAUGAACACAUUUUAAAAUUAUCAUGGUUAAAUGCAUGUGUCAUGAAUUAGAAUUAUUUUAAGUAACUGUAGCAUGUUUUGUCUUUUAUUUUUGGCAAGAUAUAGAGGGAACUGUAAAAUCUAGAUUGUGCAUAUUGCUCAUUGCCAGCUUCAGUGUCUCUUCAAAUACAACAUUAUCAUCCAAAGGAGAAUAAAUACUGUUUUUGAAAAUAAGAGAACAGAACCAUCAAGUGCAAAGAUUUUAUCCAGAAUCACACACUGGGCCAUUAGAAGAACAAGAAAUUUGCAUCCUCGUGUUCAGAACUAUGAUUGGAAUAUCUGACUUCUGUGUCUUGGAUGCUGCUGCUGCAUCUAGCGGUUGAGUUGUACAGCAAAGGAAGGCUUUAUGGCAGUGUGCAAAGAUUAGGCAUGGGAUGUCCCAGUAUCCUCAGCCACACAUUUUGUAUGUAAAGACUGCCACACAGAAUCCUUCUAUUAUGCCAUAUAAAAUGCCAGAUCAUGACCAAAAGAGAGGUAGACAAAGCAAAAUCAGUAAAGGAGAGAUUUAUUGGAAUGACCGAAACAGUGAAGAAAUGCAGAGAGAGGUAGGAGAAGUCUCAGUACAGCCAACAAAAGCUCAGUGUGUCUGAUUUAGGGCAGAGUCUGCUGCGUUAAGGUGGCAAGUUAGAGAAUCUUCAGAGAAGCUUCGUUGAAAUACUUACUCAAAACAUCGGGAAAAAAGAACAACACAGUAGUCAUGAUGCAGCUCAUAGGAAGUAAAUUGCGGUUCAGGCACGUGUUGUAAAUUCUUCUUGUGAUAAUUCUUCAACUUAUAUGAGUGGUUCUUACAUUUUUUUAUAGCAUGUGUACUCUUUCCUUUUAAUUAUAUUCAUGAAUUUCUUUUCUAAAAUAAUGAAGACAAUAGA
ensembl:lncRNA